AUUAUUACUUAAUUUUAAUAUAUUAUUAUUUAAAAUUUAUUAUUUCUUUUAAGAUUCUUUUGAUAAUCCAUCAAUUAAAUUUUGUUUAUUUGAUAACAUUUAUUGCUCGAUUAACUGUCAUUUGGAACAGAAAUUUGAUACUCAGAUUUAUUUCUUUGUCAAUUGUUAGAAUUAAAUCACGCUCAUUCGUGAUUUAGAGAAAAAAAUCGGAUAUUUUAAUUUUUGAUUGGAAAAGUUAGAUUUGGAGAAUCAAGGAUUAAGGAAAUGGAAAUUGAUGAAGAAAAUAUAGAAGUUGUGGAAAUGGUAGGAUUAAAAAUAAAUCCUAGUUAAGUGUGUAUUAGAAAUGGUGAUAAAAGUUCAGACUACCUGUCAUGCAGGUAGGGACUGAUCGCACAAAUAUAUAUGAAGGAAAGAAACCUUAAAAUCCAAUUUAUGGAAUACAAAACUCGAAAAAAUAAGGAAAUUAAUUUCUGUGAUUCCGGAUUUAUUCUAAGUGACGAGAAUCAACAAUAAAAUUUAUAUGUUUUUCUAAUAAGCGAUACUAUUUAUAUACUAUUAUCGCAGUAAAAGAAAAAUUAAUAGAUAUAUUUUUUUUGUGAUAAUUAAAAUUAUCAUUUUAUGCAUUCCUAAUGCAAGUAUAAAACUAACGAAGUAUAUUUGAAUUAAUAUUACUUAAUGACACUAAUUUAAUUCAUCAUUUGAAUUGCAAAAGAAGUUCUUCAAAACACUUAUCAAUAAAUUUGAAUUGCAAAGAAAAAUUCUAUCAAAUAUUAACUCGAUAUAUUUGGAUUGCUGAAAGUAUUUUUCAGAAAUUAAAUUAAAUUAUUAAAAGAAAUUCCUCUGAAUAUAAAUUAAUCACUACAUUAAUAUAUAAAACUCUAUUACAUUAUCCAUAAUAUUAUCUUUCGCAAUUUCACAAAUUAUACUGAAUUCAUCAAAAAAAAAAAAGAAGAAAAUAUCUCCUCCAGAUAUUCAAUUACAAAUCCUUAAAAAGAAGAAAGAAGAAAAUACCUCAAGUCUUCAACAAUAUUGCAAUAUUUCAAAAAAAAACUUCACUCUUAAAUGAUUAUUCGCACUUCAUCAUA